UAGCUUCUAAUUAGAUAACAUUUCAAGCAGAUAAUUACAUUCAGAGAAAGGAUUAGACGAAAUAAUAAGUAACGAUAUAAUUUAGAAAUUUCAUAUCAUAAACUUUGAAAGCAAGUAGAGAAUUGACAGAAAAUUGAGAUAAAAACAUGUAUGAAUUGGAUCACCCAUUGAGAAAAUGAAAGAAAGGAAAGUAAGUCUUCAAAAGUUUGGGGAAAAACAACAAUCAUGACAACGAAAGAGGUUAAAUAUGAAAAAGCACCUAUGAUUUCAGCUAUUAAAUUAAAUUUUUGAAGAGAAUCAAGCUAUA
rnacentral:misc_RNA from 1 species